CAGGCACGCGCGGGAGAGAGCCGCCGACGUUGCCCUUUCAGGGCAGUCGGGCGGCCGCCGAAGGAGCAACCACCCCGGAAUCUCUCAGGCACGCAGGACCGCAUGGCGCCG
rnacentral:ncRNA from 2 species